GCCCACAGCCGUAUCACCCUGUAGCCCAAGACUGGUUGCCCACUGAAGCCAAGCAGGGUUGAGCCUGGCCAGUACCUGGAUGGGAGACCUCCUGGGAAAACUAGGUUGCUGCUGGAA
rnacentral:rRNA from 1 species